UACGUAGGCAGCGAGCGUUGUUCGGAGUUACUGGGCGUAAAGGGUGUGUAGGCGGUUCUCUAAGUUUGGCGUGAAAUCUCCCGCUCAACCGGGAGGGUGCGCCGAAAACUGGAGGGCUAGAGUGCGGGAAGGGAGAGUAGAAUUCCUGGUGUAGCGGUGAAAUGCGUAGAUAUCAGGAGGAAUACCGGUGGUGUAGACGGCUCUCUGGACCGCGACUGACGCUGAGACACGAAAGCGUGGGGAGCGAACAGG
rnacentral:rRNA from 1 species